UUAACAAUAUGUAUCAGCUGUGUAAUGGACGACCGUCCUCGGCCCUCAUCGUAGCCACCUCGGAAAUCAAAUCACCGGUGUUCUCUAGCAAUCCAUCUUCAAUAUCCGUUACGAUAACGUCUCUAGAUUGUGCAUAAAGAUGACGAGCCGGUAUCAAUGGCAGGAGAGAGCUACAGCGUCACCGUCAGCAACCUGGCGUUUUCAUUCAGAUCCAUCGAAAGUUUCAGGUCAUAUAUCUCUGCGACUGUGAAGUGAUGAAGGCAACCUCCGGAGCAGCUUGCAGUCAACUUCACAAUAUGCCAUCAAAAGCGAUCCCAUGGCGCCCUCACCUGCCCACAUCACUCGCGAGGCAAACCGGCAGCGCAGGUAGCCACCCAGCACAUUCCUCGUCAUGCAUUGUUCUCAUAUUUGCCGUGGGUCCGGCUUCUGGACUUUAGUCUGGACUGUAGUCCGCUCCAGGAGUGUGACUUGGGUAUCUAAAACUACAACCAGAGAGGUCCUCCUUCACUACAAACGCAGACCUUGACUUCCAGUGAGAAUGAAUGACUGCUACAUACGACGGCUGCUUAAUUACAUAAGAGAAGAGGAAGGGGGGCAAGGAGUGAAGAACGGAUAUAACAUAAAGAAAUAACAUGUCAUUCUGUUCUGGUCGAAUUUAGCCGUAGAAAAAGCAGUAUCACUGAAUGGGACACCCUGAUGGAGGGACAGCGGCCCACAAGAACACGGUAUGGACGAGUGAACCUGUAGGAUCGAGAGAAAUUAGAAAAUGAGAUUUAGAUAAUGAAUAGACGUAGCAGAAGAAGGGCUGGGAUAAAUUAAUUCAGAGAGAGGAGGGCACUCGGGAAGGUGUAGCUAAGGGAUCUCUGCACUCAAAAAAACAAUUCAUUGGAUGAAAGUAAUUUUAUCUUGCCACUUAUAUUCCAUCUAAACAAAUCAUGUUAUAUUAAUCCAUCUUGAUUGUGUUGUGUCAACACGAUAUAUGUGUGUAGGUUUAACAUAAUAUUAACAUUAACAUUUAAUUAAUUUGACUUUUGUUCAAUCAACAUGUUU